GGCUGGUCUGAAGGCUGUGAGUUAUCUCAAAUGAUUGCUCACAGUGAAUUACAGAUGGAAACCCUCGUUCUACUCUUUCCUUCUCACUACUGCACUUGACUGGUCUUCA
rnacentral:Y_RNA from 1 species